GAUUGACAGUUACCAGCAUUCUGAAAAUCCUUUUUUCCCUUUUUUUAUUUAUCAGGAAGAAAAAAGAAGCUCAUUAUUUCCAACCCAAAAAACAAAAACUAUCCAUAGCUACUAGCCAUGAUGUUUUUCCCAAUGAUGCUUCGAUCACUGGCGAGGUUGGUGAUACCGCUAGUGGAUGAACCGGCGGUGUCGGUGACCAGCAUACUGUAUUACAGCCGUCUUCUUCCGCGAAAUCCCAACAUGGAGAGACUGGUUCGCCCUGAAUUUCUCCACCCAGAAAACCAUCUGUUCCACUUUCUCGUCAACAUCUUGACUUGCUUCUGGUAGGAGAGUUUGGAAAAAGGCAUGUAUUUGGCCGCUUCUAGUGUACUGGCGGAGAUUUUGAGAACAGACCAUGCUCUACUUUAUCAUGGUAUAUAUAUAUAAAUCACCUUAUUAC